CUUUUUACAUGCUGCACCAAUACUCGGUCUAGCUGCAGCUUGGCUGGGUCACAGAGGCUGAGGAGGGAGCUAAGCCUGGAGAGCUGGGGCCCUACAGAUUCAGGACCACGGCCAGCACCCACACUGCCUUCCGUAAACACUGAGCUAAACCUAGAGCCUGGGUGAUGAGAUCAGCACUGCCUUUUCGCUGGCGCAACGAAGAUUCCCGCUCCGAAGCAGGACAUCCCCACUCUCUCGUAAGUGGAACUCUUAAAGGAGACUGCGAAGAGAUAGCCAGUGAGGCUGGGGAGAUCAGCACACCUAGGAACAUUCUAGCAGAAAAUGUUGGUGCUCCACAGAACUCCCCACACCUCACUUAAUGUGCUUUCAAAAGCACUCCUGGAUCUUCUUUGGUGAAUGACUCUUAGGCUACUGGGAAUUAGCACUAGCCCAUUAGCACAGACAGCCAGAGGUGUCUGGGAGUUUACAAUGAUUGUUGGAUGUUGGAAUGGGGAGAGUGAAAGCCCAGCCCCCUUGCCUUGAGUUGGGAUGAUGUACACUUCAGACUUCCCCUUCAGGAUCAGGCUCAAAUCUACCCUCUGCUGGACUUUUGCCUGAGAACACAGCCUUAUUUGGCUCCUCCUUCUUGGUCCUGCUUUCUUUACUCCCUCACUGGUUUCUCCUAGAAACAUUUCCUUAAUAAAUCACUUGCAUAUGAAUCUCCAUGUCAGGGUC
rnacentral:lncRNA from 1 species